rnacentral:rRNA from 1 species
AUAGAGACUCAGAGCUGCAUAUCAAUAAGCGGAGGAAAAGAAACUAACAAGGAUUCCCCUAGUAAUGGCGAGUGAAGCGGGAAGAGCUCAAAUUUGAAAUCUUCAAGGUUCUACCUUGACGAAUUGUAGUUUAUAGAAGUGUUUUCUGUUAGUGGAGUGGUAAAAGUUCUUUGGAAUAGGACAUCAUAGAGGGUGAGAAUCCCGUAUUUGGUCAUUCCUUCUAGCGUCUGUGAUACACUUUCAACGAGUCGGAUUGUUUGGGAAUGCAGUCCAAAAUGGGUGGUAAAUUUCAUCUAAAGCUAAAUAUUGGCGAGAGACCGAUAGCGAACAAGUACCGUGAGGGAAAGAUGAAAGGAACUUUGAAAAGAGAGUUAAACAGUACGUGAAAUUGUCAAAAGGGAAGCGUUAGGACACCAGUGUUGUUUUUCCGAAAAUCAAUUACGAAUGUUUUAUUUUUGAGAAGUUAUGACUUCAUCGGCUUGCUUCUUUCUUUACUGAAACUUUCUUAAUGCACUUUUCGGUUAACAAGUCAACAUCAAUUUCUUUUGUUGUUAAAAGGGUACUGAGGAAGGUGGCUUUCUUUUCGGAGAAAGUGUUUAUAGCCUUGUACCUCUGCAAUCGGAGAGAUUGAGGUCUGCAGCGUAGAUCCUUCGGGGUUAGAUACAUUUGUGCUAAGUUAUAGCUUUUCAUAGACAACUUGUUGACUAUGUUACGUCUUGUAGCUUACUCGCUUAUGCUAUUUUACCUACGCUUAGGAUGUUGAUGUGAUACUGCGAGCA